GAUGAACGCUGGCGGCGUGCCUAAUACAUGCAAGUCGAGCGAACGGACGAGAAGCUUGCUUUUCUGAUGUUAGCGGCGGACGGGUGAGUAACACGUGGAUAACCUACCUAUAAGACUGGGAUAACUUCGGGAAACCGGAGCUAAUACCGGAUAAUAUUUUGAACCGCAUGGUUCAAAAGUGAAAGACGGUCUUGCUGUCACUUAUAGAUGGAUCCGCGCUGCAUUAGCUAGUUGGUAAGGUAACGGCUUACCAAGGCAACGAUGCAUAGCCGACCUGAGAGGGUGAUCGGCCACACUGGAACUGAGACACGGUCCAGACUCCUACGGGAGGCAGCAGUAGGGAAGCUUCCGCAAUGGGCGAAAGCCUGACGGAGCAACGCCGCGUGAGGGAUGAAGGUCUUCGGAUCGUAAAACUCUGUUAUUAGGGAAGAACAUAUGUGUAAGUAACUGUGCACAUCUUGACGGUACCUAAUCAGAAAGCCACGGCUAACUACGUG
rnacentral:rRNA from 1 species